AAAUAAAAAACAAUAAAAACUCUGCCACAUAACUAAAAAGUCUACUUCUUCUCAUGGCAGAAGAAGUGGCUACCUGUAAAACAUCUUCUUCCCUUGCCCUUUCAUCCCUAGUUGGUUGCUCUAUGUGCAGUGCCUCGGCAGCCUGUCCUUGUUCUGGUGGUGGGGAGCGCAAUAGAGGGGAGGACCAAGGACUGGGAUGUGAUGCAAGUGAUGACCAGUAACAUCUAACAUGAGUGUGCAAAGGUAUGAAGCCCUGAAUCUGAGACUUGGUGAAUGAUCCAAAUAUUUGAGCUGGAGUCCCAAAACGAGGAAUCGACAUCUAUGAUAGAGGUGUAACUGGAAGGGUGCCAAACAAUGACAUUUCUGGACGGUACAAACCUGAGCCAUGGAAAUCCUGCUGUAAACUCAUGACAACUGCCAGCAUACUCAGGCGAGGCCAUAGCAAGAUUCGGGCUUUAAAAGAUGAACUCUUACAGGUGUGUACCGUCCAGAAAUGUCAUUGUUCGGCAACCCCCCAGUCACACCUCCAUCAUAGAUGCCAAUCCCUCGUUUUCGGACUCCAGCUCAUAUAAUUGGAUCACCUUCAUCCACAAUCAUCAAGACCCAUAUUUAGGGCUUCACACCUUUGCACACUCCUGUUAUUGGUAAUUGAUGAGUUUGCAUCACAUUCCGGUCCUUGGUCCUCCCAUAUAUUGCGCUCCCCACCACCAGAACAAAGACAGGCUGCCGAGGCACCGCAUAGAGAGCAGCCACCUAGGAUCAAAGAGCAAGGGAAGAAAUAUUUUACAGGCAGCCACUUCUUCAACCACAAGAAGUAGACUUUUUAUUUGUAGUUUGUGACAUUAUAUGUAUUAUAUUUUAGUUAUGUGGCAGAGUUUUUAUUGUUAUUUAUUUCAUUCGAACCAUUUGUAUUUAUGUUUAGUAGAGUUUGUAUUUAUAGGAAAUUUCAUACUA